rnacentral:sRNA from 1 species
AGGAACAUGCUGUCUGUCCUUAAGUCCUCUAAGCUAUGGUCUUAGGGCCUGGAUUUAAGUUUUUAAGAUAACAAAGAUUAUGUAUUUUAUUUUGUUUUAAGAAAGAUUAUGUUAUUUUAGUCUUGGUAUGUUUGUUUUAAAAAGAAAAUUUGUAAUUUUACUUUGUUGCAACAAGCACUGUCAAAUAAAGUAUAUAAUUUGUUG